rnacentral:rRNA from 1 species
AACGAACGCUGGCGGCAUGCCUAACACAUGCAAGUCGAACGAGACCUUCGGGUCUAGUGGCGCACGGGUGCGUAACGCGUGGGAAUCUGCCCUUUGCUUCGGAAUAACAGUUAGAAAUGACUGCUAAUACCGGAUGAUGUCUUCGGACCAAAGAUUUAUCGGCAAAAGGAUGAGCCCGCGUAGGAUUAGGUAGUUGGUGGGGUAAAGGCCUACCAAGCCGACGAUCCUUAGCUGGUCUGAGAGGAUGAUCAGCCACACUGGGACUGAGACACGGCCCAGACUCCUACGGGAGGCAGCAGUGGGGAAUAUUGGACAAUGGGCGCAAGCCUGAUCCAGCAAUGCCGCGUGAGUGAUGAAGGCCUGGUCGUAAG